GAUGAACGCUGGCGGCGUGCCUAAUACAUGCAAGUCGAGCGAAUGGAUUAAGAGCUUGCUCUUAUGAAGUUAGCGGCGGACGGGUGAGUAACACGUGGGUAACCUGCCCAUAAGACUGGGAUAACUCCGGGAAACCGGGGCUAAUACCGGAUAAUAUUUUGAACUGCAUGGUUCAAAAUUGAAAGGCGGCUUCGGCUGUCACUUAUGGAUGUACCCGCGUCGCAUUAGUUAGUUGGUGAGGUAACGGCUCACCAAGGCAACGAUGCGUAGCCGACCUGAGAGGGUGAUCGGCCACACUGGGACUGAGACACGGCCCAGACUCCUACGGGAGGCAGCAGUAGGGAAUCUUCCGCAAUGGACGAAAGUCUGACGGAGCAACGCCGCGUGAGUGAUGAAGGCUUUCGAGUCGUAAAACUCUGUUGUUAGGGAAGAACAAGUGCUAGUUGAAUAAGCUGGCAUCUUGACGGUACCUAACCAGAAAGCCACGGCUAACUACGUGCCAGCCGCCGCGGUAA
rnacentral:rRNA from 1 species